rnacentral:tRNA from 1 species
AGAUACUUAGGUUAUUACAUAAACCAAGGACCUUCAAAGUCCAAAAAAGGGGUACACCCCUAAUAUCUG